rnacentral:hammerhead_ribozyme from 1 species
AUUCAGCCAACGAGUCCCAAAUAGGACGAAACGCGCUUCCUGGAU